rnacentral:lncRNA from 1 species
AAUUACACACUCAUUCAAAUUUCAAUUACGUCAUUCAUUCAUUUACAUGCAUGAUCUUAAAGUAUCUUACAUGAAUGUUUGGAAGCUAAGACUCAAGGAACUUUUUGAUAGUAUUCCUACCUUGGACGAACUGGAAGGGUUACAGAAAGUUAUGGGACGUCUUUCCAACCUUUUGGACACUACUUUAAAAUUUUCGUUGAGUUCCUCAUCAAGACCCCCACAAAUGUUUUCACCAUAUCAAAAAAUCUUGUGGACCCUG